rnacentral:lncRNA from 1 species
AGUCAUUUCAUAAUUUUCAUCAACACCACCGGAUUGUAUUAAAAGUUCGAUAAAACAAACAGAACAUUGGUAAAAUUGAAGAAUGAAAAUGAAUGUGGAUAUGAAAUUCGAAAGGAACAAGUUGAAAAAAUGACAUUUUAAUCCAAAAUCUACAACUCAACAGUAGAAUACUCAGCUUUAAGUGCGACUAGAAACUUUUAGACAUUUGUACAGAGCAAGGAAUUCGUCCAAAACAUUUGGAAGGCCACAGUUAAUCUUGAAGGAAUGAGGUUAUGCAAUAGAUGAAAUAAAUUUAAAAAUGUUUAAAAUAAAGUAGUAUUUGUAAAUGACUAUUAUAUCCUUACAACCCUAGGUAUUACGACUACUAUAUUCCUUGCAGCCCUAAUUCUUCCCCAUAGAUAUGGGACUUUGAUUUUGAAUGAAAAACACACAAAUUUAUUAACUUCUUUAUCUUAUUUUUUCUUUAGUUCAUAACAUGUUAUCAGCAUGAUUCUCUAAAAAUUAUAAUAAAUUAGCUUGAAGGUAACUAUAUCCAAUCUCAAAUCAUACGCAUUAUAUUUUUUCAUUGUCGCAUACAUGCAUAAUUAAUAUUUUUACAGGCGCGUUAGAGAUUGUGUGCACAUCUAUAUUCAACACAGCUAUAUGUAUAGGGAGAUGUUGGUUCCCCACCUAUAGGGGGUGCCAUGUGACCAUAUACAACUAGCUUUACUCAUAUGUAUAUCCUCUUUUUGCGUGAACUUGAAGGUCUGUAUUCAGCAUCUUGCCCGCGUGAAUUUAUUUUAUAUAUGUAGAUCUACUUUUUCGAUUCACAAUAAUAU